CCUACGGGGGGCAGCAGUAGGGAAUAUUGCUCAAUGGGGGAAACCCUGAAGCAGCAACGCCGCGUGGAGGAUGAAGGUUUUCGGAUUGUAAACUCCUUUUGUUAGAGAAGAUAAUGACGGUAUCUAACGAAUAAGCACCGGCUAACUCCGUGCCAGCAGCCGCGGUAAUACGGAGGGUGCAAGCGUUACUCGGAAUCACUGGGCGUAAAGCGCGCGUAGGCGGGAUAGCAAGUCAGAUGUGAAAUCCUAUGGCUUAACCAUAGAAGUGCAUUUGAAACUGUUAUUCUAGAGUAUGGGAGAGGUAGGUGGAAUUCUUGGUGUAGGGGUAAAAUCCGUAGAGAUCAAGAGGAAUACUCAUUGCGAAGGCGACCUGCUAGAACAUAACUGACGCUGAUGCGCGAAAGCGUGGGGAGCAAACAGGAUUAGAUACCCCAGUAGUC
rnacentral:rRNA from 1 species